rnacentral:rRNA from 1 species
UACGGAGGAUGCAAGCGUUAUCCGGAAUCACUGGGUUUAAAGGGUGCGUAGGCGGAUUUGUAAGUCCGUGGUGAAAGCCAGUCGCUAAACGAUUGAAUUGCCAUUGAUACUGCAAGUCUUGAAGGACAAUGAGGUCAGCAGAAUGUGACAUGUAGCGGUGAAAUGCUUAGAUAUGUCAUAGAAUACCAAUUGCGAAGGCAGCUGACUGGUUGUUUCUUGACGCUGAGGCACGAAAGCGUGGGGAUCAAACAGG